CAGCAGCCGCGGGAAUACGUAGGGUGCAAGCGUUAAUCGGGAUUACUGGGCGUAAAGCGUGCGCAGGCGGUUUGUUAAGACAGAUGUGAAAUCCCCGGGCUCAACCUGGGAACUGCAUUUGUGACUGGCAGGCUAGAGUAUGGCAGAGGGGGGUGGAAUUCCGCGUGUAGCAGUGAAAUGCGUAGAUAUGCGGAGGAACACCGAUGGCGAAGGCAGCCCCCUGGGCCAAUACUGACGCUCAUGCACGAAAGCGUGGGGAGCAAACAGGAUUAGAUACCCCAGUAGUCCCUGUCUCUUAUAA
rnacentral:rRNA from 1 species